UACGGGGGGGGCAAGCGUUGUUCGGAAUUACUGGGCGUAAAGGGCUCGUAGGCGGCCAACUAAGUCGGAUGUGAAAUCCCCAGGCUUAACCUGGGAACUGCAUCCGAUACUGGAUGGCUUGAAUCCGGGAGAGGGAUGCAGAAUUCCAGGUGUAGCGGUGAAAUGCGUAGAUAUCUGGAGGAAUACCGGUGGCGAAGGCGGCAUCCUGGACCGGCAUUGACGCUGAGGAGCGAAAUCUAGGGGAGCAAACGGG
rnacentral:rRNA from 1 species